GAUGAACGCUAGCUACAGGCUUAACACAUGCAAGUCGAGGGGAAAAGAUAGAGAAAGCUUGCUUUUUCUAGGCGUCGACCGGCGCACGGGUGAGUAACGCGUAUCCAACCUGUCCACCACUUGGGGAUAACCUUGCGAAAGUAAGACUAAUACCCAAUGAUAUAUCAAGAAGACAUCUGAAUGAGAUUAAAGAUUUAUCGGUGAUGGAUGGGGAUGCGUCUGAUUAGCUUGUUGGCGGUGUAACGGCCCACCAAGGCGACGAUCAGUAGGGGGUCUAAGAGAAAGGUCCCCCACAUUGGAACUGAGACACGGUCCAAACUCCUACGGGAGGCAGCAGUGAGGAAUAUUGGUCAAUGGGCGAGAGCCUGAACCAGCCAAGUAGCGUGCAGGAUGACGGCCCUAUGGGUUGUAAACUGCUUUUAUAAGGGAAUAAAGUGAGUCUCGUGAGGCUUUUUGCAUGUACCUUAUGAAUAAGGACCGGCUAAUUCCGUGCCAGCCGCCGCGGUAA
rnacentral:rRNA from 1 species